rnacentral:rRNA from 1 species
GACGAACGCUGGCGGCGUGCUUAACACAUGCAAGUCGAACGGAAAGGCCCCUUUGGGGGUACUCGAGUGGCGAACGGGUGAGUAACACGUGAGUAACCUGCCCUUGACUUCGGGAUAACUUCAGGAAACUGGGGCUAAUACCGGAUAGGAAUCCUUGCUGCAUGGUGGGGGUUGGAAAGCUUCGGCGGUUUUGGAUGGACUCGCGGCUUAUCAGCUUGUUGGUGGGGUAGUGGCUUACCAAGGCUUUGACGGGUAGCCGGCCUGAGAGGGCGACCGGCCACAGUGGGACUGAGAGACGGCCCAGACUCCUACGGGAGGCAGCAGUGGGGAAUAUUGCACAAUGGGCGGAAGCCGGAUGCAGCAACGCCGCGGGCGGGAUGACGGCCUUCGGGUUGUAAACCGCUUUCAGCAGGGGCGAAGCUUGUGGUGACGGUACCUGCAGAAGAAGCACCGGCUAACUACGUG